UUACGGCAAUAAAUAUUGAUUAUAAUUCUCAACACGUCCGAUGGAAAAACAUGCAUUCGCACUUUCAUUGGAUUAUACCGCGUCAUAUAUCUACCCUAAGUACCUACAAUAUGUUUGAUUAAAAUAUAGUUACGUGCUUUAGUAUAUUUUAUGAUAUAACAACAAUGCUUUAAUUUUAUUCGAAAUUUAUUCAAGACCUCGCCGACUUUAUAAUGUAAACACUCUCGUAAAUCUAUCUGAUCGUUCGUUUUACUGCACUUGCACUUGUUCGAUAUCGGAUAAAAAAAAAUAAAAUAAAACAAAACCGUUCAAACAAGGUGAUAAAUUGUUUAGAAAUAGACGGUACCUAUUUCAUUCGUUCAUCAAUCUUAAAUAAUGUUUGUUAAGCGUUGGAUGCA